rnacentral:rRNA from 1 species
GCAUGAGAUUGCGGGAUACUGCAUCCUGGUACAGCCCGGUAUGCGGAACGCGAGCUUACGGAUAUGGUUAGGUGCCAGGGCCUAAGUCACGGUCAAGGUUCAGUUACAGGUGAGCCGGUGAAACUUCGUCUGAGUCGGCGAGGGAGGCGGAUGCGUUGUUAGCGUGAAAUGCAUAGAUAUGACGCCAGACCCGAUGCGAGCAGCUUUCAGCACGCGACUGACGCUGAGCAGAAGCGUGGGGAGCGAACAGGAUAGAUACCUGGUAGUCCACGCGGUAAACGAUGAAUACUAGCCUGCGGCGCGAAUGAGUGCUGCGGGGCAGAGUGAAAACGUUAAGUAUCCACCUGGGGAGUACGCCGGGCAACGGUGAAACUCAAAGGAAUUGACGGGGGCCCGCACAAGCGGAGGAACAUGUGGUUUAAUUCGAUGAUACGCGAGGAACCUUACCCGGGCUCAAACGGCGGGAGACGCGUCCGGAAACGGGCGUUCCCUUCGGGGCUGCCGCCGAGGUGCUGCAUGGUUGUCGUCAGCUCGUGCCGUGAGGUGUCGGCUUAAGUGCCAUAACGAGCGCAACCCCCAUCUUCAGUUGCCAGCGGGCAAAGCCGGGCACUCUGGAGAGACUGCCAGCGCAAGCUGUGAGGAAGGCGGGGAUGACGUCAAAUCAGCACGGCCCUUACGUCCGGGGCGACACACGUGUUACAAUGGCAGGGUCACAGAGGGAAGCCAGGCGGCGACGCUGAGCCGAUCCCGAAAACCUGUCUCAGUUCGGAUCGGAGUCUGCAACCCGACUCCGUGAAGCUGGAUUCGCUAGUAAUCGCGCAUCAGCCAUGGCGCGGUGAAUACGUUCCCGGGCCUUGUACACACCGCCCGUCAAGCCAUGGAAGCCUGGAGUGCCUGAAGUUCGUGACCGCGAGGAGCGACCAAGGGUAAGACAGGUAACUGGGGCUAAGUCGUAACAAGGUAAAUCACUGCCCUUCGUACCCCCC